rnacentral:lncRNA from 10 species
UUUGAGAGGUGAUUAGGCCCUGAGGGCUCCUCCCUUGUGAAUGGGAUUAGGUACCCUAUAAAGGGCCUUGAUGGAGAGAUUGGCUCCCUCUUCCCCUUUCCCACCUUCUGUGAUCUGAGGACACAGCAGGAAGGCCCUCACCGGAUGCUGGCACCUUGAUCUUGGACUUCCUAGCCUCCAGAACUGUGAGAAAAUACAUUUCUGUUUUAAUAAAUGACCCAGUCCCAGGAAUCUUGUUAUAACCGGCCCAAAUGGCAAAUGGACUAAGGGACUACAACCUGUCUUAGUCAGGAUGGUAUGAGUGGGUUGAACUACGCCAGCGCUUCUUAACUUAGCCGCACACCAGAAUCAUCUUGUGACCUUUCACGAGUGCUGAGGUCUGAGCCUUACCCCACAGAGAUUCUGUUUUAAUUGGUUUGAAUACUGCUUUGUCCCCCGUCCCCAUGGGUAUUUUUAGAGGUUCUGUAGGCUAUUCUAAUCUGCAGCCUAGGUUGAAACCAUUGAACCAGGAAAACCCAAAAUAUAUUUUCCAGCUCAAAUAUUUCACAAGUUGAAAUCAAUGUAAAUAGACUUUGGAUAUUCAGAAGGCAAGGAUGGGGUGGAAAGAGAGUACCAGACUGAUAUCUUUUUAUCUCAUUGAAUCUUCAAAAAGUCCCUGCAUCUCCCUUAGUCUGUGGCAAAACCAGCCACCCACCUGCCCAUCCAGACUCAGCCGUCAUCUCCAGGGAAUGGUGCCCGUCUCCAUUCACCCAGGAAGAGUCCUUGCUCUCUUGAGUUUUUUGAAUUAAUAGUUCCCCAAUAGCUUUUUGAAAAAUAUGUCUUUGUUAGCUUAUCCAGUUUCCUUUUUCUUUUUUCAGUUGUUGUAGCUGUGGAUGUGAUGGUUUGUUACAACCUUGUACAUUUCAGUUGGAAGCAAAACUAUUCCUAUUAGGCAUUGGGAAGCCUCGCAAGAAGAGAGAGAUGAAUUGGUGUGUGGGGAAGAUCAAUCUGGUGGCCAAGGCAGGAAAAGUUAAAUUUAGGAGAACAGGGAUGUGUGCAGAGAGGAGGGCAGUGUCAGAUUGUGAUGGAAAGAGACAAAUAAGAGAGGCCUUGGCGUGAGCCAUCGCAACUGGCCCAACCUCUGUUUCUUUCUAGUCCCCAUGUAAGCGAAGCAAAAUUUAAUACAUUUGUUUUUUAAUUAAUCCAUAAUAAUGCAAAAAUGCAAGAUAUAUUUUCGGGGAAGGGUACUUCAACGGGUGUGUCUCCCUUAUCUGACUGUGUACACCUGGGAGGAAUAGAGUGUACUUUUCUGUUUUGUUUGUUUAGUAGCCAGAACUCUGCCAGGCCAAACAAACGAUGUAGUUGAUGGGACAGAGUUUGCCAGGGUUGUCGGCUGUGUGAAGGUGUGAGCGGGAACUCCAUGUUCUGAACAACAGCAGUCGGCUGGGGAAGCUCCAAUGUCCAGGCUCAGAGAAGCGGACUGGGUAGGCGGGGUACGAAGCUGAUGGAAAAGUACCCAGCUGCCUCCUCUUCAGUUCUUCAGCCUCACCGUGUGCGGGAGACGUGUCACAGCAGCAUUCUAUCAUCAUUAUCCUGGAAGGGAGCGUUGGCGGGGUGGGAGGGCAGCCCUGACAUUCACCCGGUUCCUCCUGGGCUCGCCGUGGUUCUAAAAGCAUUAGCCGCGUGCUUCAGCGGGAAGAGCCCCAGGCCAGGAACAAGGGGCGUAGGCUGCAGCCUCUGACUUGCCACUAAUGAGCUGGUUUGGGAUAAGCCACAUAAACUCAGAAAAAUAGUCAUUCCGCCCCCGGCCCCAUCACAGUCUGAUCUCUAGGUUCCUUUCUAACCCUGAGAGUUUAGGGCCUGUGCCCUUUGAACCCACUCUAUCUUCUGUUCUCAGCAUCCAGACUGGUACUUUUCUGGAGAAGGUUUAAAUCUCCUUUCUUGGGUGGCUUGAUGUAGUACUCCUAAACCAGAGGACAUGAAUUCCCAGGGACUAAGCAGGAUUUUGUUUUGGGAUAGGAAGUGGCAGGUCACUCAAGGACUUGGGGGGUGUAGGUAACUGAACCUACCUUCAGUUUCGUCAUCCCUCAUGGAAAAAGAAAAAAGGAUGGAGUCUGUUCUUCCAAGGAUGUGCAUGACAGUACCCGGAGGGGACGAGGCUCUACAUGGUCCCCAGCUGGUCCCAGGGUUGUGCCAAUAAAUUCAGGUCUGCAGCGCCUUCUUCGCAUACUUCAUCUCCAGCCAGGCUGCCAUGUGCAUGGAGAUGGCAGCCACCACACCUCUCUUUCCACAAGGUGGCUGUUGUCAGUGGUCUGACUUCAUUCAUUGCCCUGGAAAGCUUUAAAAAUGAGGCGUGGCUCCUCCCAGGUGUAUUUAACGUGACGAAGCUUCUGCAUUUUGCAAUCCUGAAACUUCACGAAGGAACUAUUCACAGCAUCAUAAAUGAAGUGUUUCCAUCAUCACAAUUUCAUCUUUAGUUGGGGCCAUCCGAGGAGUUGGGAAGAGACAGGCACUGCUGUGUGAGACCCCAGAUUGUCAUACAAAGAACCCUUUCUGAGUCAUUGAUCUGAAAAUACACCAGCAGGUUCCAGCCUAUUGUAUCUAGGCUGUGUGACAACAACCAUUGAUUACCUGGGAGUCUGAGCUCAAGGGGGUUCAGGAAGUUGUGUGGGCUGAACUUUUUGAUCCUAACUCAACUCUGGGAAAAAUAAACAAGCACACGAGUCAUUUAUAUUCAUGGUCACUAAUAAAGGUGGUGGGUUCCUUGAAGCCAUGUUUACAUUCUUAUUUUUAAAUCAUGACGAUGGGAGGUCAGACAAGUGACUUGACCAUGGUAGGGACUUGUAAGAGUGGCCAGGAUGGAGGGCAGUUGAGGACCCUGUUGUAGGAUUAGUGUGCUAGCCCGUGUCCAGAAUGGUCUGUGAUGGGAAAAAUUGG